rnacentral:rRNA from 1 species
CAGCCGAGCGGUAUUUGUCUUUCGGGACAGAGAGAGCGGCGUACGGGUGCGGAACACGUGUGCAACCUACCUUUAUCAGGGGGAUAGCCUUUCGAAAGGAAGAUUAAUACCCCAUAAUAUAUUGAUUGGCAUCAGUUAAUAUUGAAAACUCCGGUGGAUAGAGAUGGGCACGCGCAAGAUUAGAUAGUUGGUAGGGUAACGGCCUACCAAGUCAGUGAUCUUUAGGGGGCCUGAGAGGGUGAUCCCCCACACUGGUACUGAGACACGGACCAGACUCCUACGGGAGGCAGCAGUGAGGAAUAUUGGACAAUGGGUGAGAGCCUGAUCCAGCCAUCCCGCGUGAAGGACGACGGCCCUAUGGGUUGUAAACUUCUUUUGUAUAGGGAUAAACCUACUCUCGUGAGAGUAGCUGAAGGUACUAUACGAAUAAGCACCGGCUAACUCCGUGCCAGCAGCCGCGGUAAUACGGAGGGUGCAAGCGUUAUCCGGAUUUAUUGGGUUUAAAGGGUCCGUAGGCGGAUCUGUAAGUCAGUGGUGAAAUCUCAUAGCUUAACUAUGAAACUGCCAUUGAUACUGCAGGUCUUGAGUAAAGUAGAAGUGGCUGGAAUAAGUAGUGUAGCGGUGAAAUGCAUAGAUAUUACUUAGAACACCAAUUGCGAAGGCAGGUCACUAUGUUUUAACUGAAGGGUCCGUAGGCGGAUCUGUAAGUCAGUGGUGAAAUCUCAUAGCUUAACUAUGAAACUGCCAUUGAUACUGCAGGUCUUGAGUAAAGUAGAAGUGGCUGGAAUAAGUAGUGUAGCGGUGAAAUGCAUAGAUAUUACUUAGAACACCAAUUGCGAAGGCAGGUCACUAUGUUUUAACUGACGCUGAUGGACGAAAGCGUGGGGAGCGAACAGGAUUAGAUACCCUGGUAGUCCACGCCGUAAACGAUGCUAACUCGUUUUUGGGCUUUAGGGUUCAGAGACUAAGCGAAAGUGAUAAGUUAGCCACCUGGGGAGUACGUUCGCAAGAAUGAAACUCAAAGGAAUUGACGGGGGCCCGCACAAGCGGUGGAUUAUGUGGUUUAAUUCGAUGAUACGCGAGGAACCUUACCAAGGCUUAAAUGGGAAUUGACAGGUUUAGAAAUAGACUUUUCUUCGGACAAUUUUCAAGGUGCUGCAUGGUUGUCGUCAGCUCGUGCCGUGAGGUGUUAGGUUAAGUCCUGCAACGAGCGCAACCCCUGUCACUAGUUGCCAUCAUUCAGUUGGGGACUCUAGUGAGACUGCCUACGCAAGUAGAGAGGAAGGUGGGGAUGACGUCAAAUCAUCACGGCCCUUACGCCUUGGGCCACACACGUAAUACAAUGGCCAGUACAGAGGGCAGCUACCAGGCGACUG